UGGUUCUGGCAUCGAUGAAGAACGCAGCGAAAUGCGAUAAGUAAUGUGAAUUGCAGAAUUCAGUGAAUCAUCGAAUCUUUGAACGCACAUUGCGCCCUCUGGUAUUCCGGGGGGCAUGCCUGUUCGAGCGUCAUUACAACCCUCAAGCUCUGCUUGGUGUUGGGUGCACCGCGGAAGUGGUCGCCUUAAACGCAGUGGCGGUGCCGGCUGGCUUCAAGCGUAGUACAUUCUCGCUUUGGAGUCAGGCGGUGGCUGCCAUCUCUCUCUCAAAGGUUGACCUCGGAUCAGGUAGGGAUACCCGCUGA
rnacentral:misc_RNA from 1 species